rnacentral:rRNA from 1 species
CGAAGGUCCCAAGCGUUAUCCGGAUUUAUUGGGUUUAAAGGGUGCGUAGGCGGGUUAUUAAGUCAGUGGUGAAAGCUCCAUGCCUAACAUGGAAAUUGCCAUUGAUACUGAUGAUCUUGAGUACAUUUGAAGUGGGCGGAAUGUGUCAUGUAGCGGUGAAAUGCUUAGAUAUGACACAGAACACCGAUUGCGUAGGCAGCUCACUAAACUGUAACUGACGCUGAGGCACGAAAGCGUGGGGAGCAAACAGGAUUAGAUACCCUGGUAGUCCACGCCCUAAACGAUGAUCACUCGAUGUGUGCGAUACACAGUACGCGUCCAAGCGAAAGCGAUAAGUGAUCCACCUGGGGAGUACGGCCGCAAGGCUG